rnacentral:rRNA from 1 species
GGAGGGGGAUAACUACUGGAAACGGUAGCUAAUACCGCAUAACGUCGCAAGACCAAAGAGGGGGACCUUCGGGCCUCUUGCCAUCAGAUGUGCCCAGAUGGGAUUAGCUAGUAGGUGGGGUAACGGCUCACCUAGGCGACGAUCCCUAGCUGGUCUGAGAGGAUGACCAGCCACACUGGAACUGAGACACGGUCCAGACUCCUACGGGAGGCAGCAGUGGGGAAUAUUGCACAAUGGGCGCAAGCCUGAUGCAGCCAUGCCGCGUGUAUGAAGAAGGCCUUCGGGUUGUAAAGUACUUUCAGCG